rnacentral:rRNA from 1 species
AUUGAACGCUGGCGGCAGGCCUAACACAUGCAAGUCGAGCGGUAGAGAGGAGCUUGCUUCUCUUGAGAGCGGCGGACGGGUGAGUAAUGCCUAGGAAUCUGCCUGGUAGUGGGGGAUAGCGUUCGGAAACGGACGCUAAUACCGCAUACGUCCUACGGGAGAAAGUGGGGGAUCUUCGGACCUCACGCUAUCAGAUGAGCCUAGGUCGGAUUAGCUAGUUGGUGAGGUAAAGGCUCACCAAGGCGACGAUCCGUAACUGGUCUGAGAGGAUGAUCAGUCACACUGGAACUGAGACACGGUCCAGACUCCUACGGGAGGCAGCAGGGGGGAAUAUUGGACAAUGGGCGCAAGCCUGAUCCAGCCAUGCCGCGUGUGUGAAGAAGGUCUUCGGAUUGUAAAGCACUUUAAGUUGGGAGGAAGGUCAGUAGCUUAAUACGUUGCUGAUUUGACGUUACCGACAGAAUAAGCACCGGCUAACUCUGUGCCAGCCGCCGCAGUAAAAC